AGCGAACGCUGGCGGCAGGCCUAACACAUGCAAGUCGAACGAACUCUUCGGAGUUAGUGGCGGACGGGUGAGUAACACGUGGGAACGUGCCUUUUGGUUCGGAAUAACUCAGGGAAACUUGUGCUAAUACCGAAUGUGCCCUUCGGGGGAAAGAUUUAUCGCCAUUAGAGCGGCCCGCGUCUGAUUAGCUAGUUGGUGAGGUAACGGCUCACCAAGGCGACGAUCAGUAGCUGGUCUGAGAGGAUGACCAGCCACACUGGGACUGAGACACGGCCCAGACUCCUACGGGAGGCAGCAGUGGGGAAUCUUGCGCAGUGGGCGAAAGCCUGACGCAGCCAUGCCGCGUGAAUGAUGAAGGUCUUAGGAUUGUAAAAUUCUUUCACCGGGGACGAUAAUGACGGUACCCGGAGAAGAAGCCCCGGCUAACUUCGUG
rnacentral:rRNA from 1 species